UGCUCGCAAACGAAAAAAAAACCGACUUCAAUUACAUAGACAAGUAAUACAACGAAAGUAGACGAAAAAAUAAUCAAGUAAAUGCACAUUAUUAGAGGUAACUC